rnacentral:rRNA from 1 species
UACGAAGGGUGCAAGCGUUAAUCGGAAUUACUGGGCGUAAAGGGUGCGUAGGCGGUUGUUUAAGUCUGUCGUGAAAUCCCCGGGCUCAACCUGGGAAUGGCGAUGGAUACUGGGCAGCUAGAGUGUGUCAGAGGAUGGUGGAAUUCCCGGUGUAGCGGUGAAAUGCGUAGAGAUCGGGAGGAACAUCAGUGGCGAAGGCGGCCAUCUGGGACAACACUGACGCUGUAGCACGAAAGCGUGGGGAGCAAACAGG